rnacentral:rRNA from 1 species
GGGCGUAAAGCGCGCGUAGGCGGCUACUCAAGUCAGGGGUGAAAGCCCGAGGCUCAACCUCGGAACUGCCUUUGAUACUGGAUGUCUUGAGUGUGAGAGAGGUGAGUGGAACUCCGAGUGUAGAGGUGAAAUUCGUAGAUAUUCGGAAGAACACCAGUGGCGAAGGCGACUCACUGGCUCAUUACUGACGCUGAGGCUCGAAAGCGUGGGGAGCA